rfam:Triticum aestivum genome assembly, contig: Triticum_aestivum_CS42_TGACv1_scaffold_031590_1BL
CAACUACUCCCUCUGUCCCAAAAAGCUUGUCUUAAAUUUAUGGAUACGGAUAUAUCUAGACACGUUUUAGUGUUAGAUUCAACCGUAUGUAGAUAAAUCUAAUACAAGAUUUUUAGGACAGAGGUAAUAUAAU